AUUGAACGCUGGCGGCAGGCCUAACACAUGCAAGUCGAGCGGAGCGGCGGACGGGUGAGUAAUGCCUAGGAAUCUGCAUGGUAGUGGGGGAUAACGUCGGGAAACGGGAGCUAAUAACGCAGACUAUCAGAUGAGCUUAGGUGGGCUUAGCUAGUUGGUGGGGUAAAGGCCUACCAAGGCGACGAUCCGUAACUGGUCUGAGAGGAUGAUCAGUCACACUGGAACUGAGACACGGUCCAGACUCCUACGGGAGUCAGCAGUGGGGAAUAUUGGACAAUGGGCGAAAGCCUGAUCCAGCCAUGCCGCGUGUGUGAAGAAGGUCUUCGGAUUGUAAAGCUCUUUAGGUUGGGAGGCGUUACCAACAGAAUAAGCCCCGGCUAACUUCGUGCCAGCAGCCGCGGUAAUAC
rnacentral:rRNA from 1 species